AUUUCACUUCAUAAUGUGACCAAUCCCUGAGAAGCCAGCAGGAGCCCUGGAGAGAGUUCUCUUUUUGUGAAGGGCAGGGCACCCUGGAAGGGGUUCACCUGAGAGAGGGGCCAUGCCUUGGAAAGUGUUGCAGUUCUGGCAGUCUGGUGAGCUCUGGAUGGCCCUUGAAAAUCUGAAGGAGAGGGUGUAAAU
rnacentral:ncRNA from 1 species